rnacentral:tRNA from 1 species
ACCUUCGAGGUGUAGUGGUCAGCACGCUCGACGCGUAACCGAGAGGUCCGUGGUUCGAUUCCCGGCGAAGGCG